UGCUACCUGCGAGUCGAUCGGUACGCGGGGGCAACCCUGGCGACGAGAGGCGGACGGGUGAGGAACGCUUGGGAAUCUGCCCUUCAGCGGGGGACAACCCGGGGAAACUCGGGCUAAUACCGCAUACGCUCCAAGGAGGAAAGCCGGGGACCGCAAGGCCUGGCACUGAAGGAUGAGCCCAAGCCGGAUUAGCUAGUUGGCGGGGUAACGGCCCACCAAGGCGACGAUCCGUAGCUGGUCUGAGAGGACGAUCAGCCACACCGGAACUGAGACACGGUCCGGACUCCUACGGGAGGCAGCAGUGGGGAAUAUUGGACAAUGGGGGAAACCCUGAUCCAGCGACGCCGCGUGGGUGAAGAAGGCCUGCGGGUUGUAAAGCCCUUUCGGUAGGGACGAAAGCUCUUGCCUUAAUACGGCAGGAGGUUGACUUAACCUACAUAAGAAGCACCGGCUAACUCUGUGCCAGCAGCCGCGGUAAUACAGAGGGUGCGAGCGUUAAUCGGAAUUACUGGGCGUAAAGCGCACGUAGUCGGCUUUGUAAGUCGGGUGUGAAAUCCCCGGGCUCAACCUGGGAACUGCAUCCGAGACUGCAUUGCUAGAGUAUGGGAGAGGGAAGCGGAAUUUCUGGUGUAGCAGUGAAAUGCGUAGAUAUCAGAAGGAACAUCAGUGGCGAAGGCGGCUUCCUGGACCAAUACUGACGAUCAGGUGCGAAAGCGUGGGGAGCAAACAGGAUUAGAUACCCUGGUAGUCCACGCCCUAAACGAUGAGAACUGGAUGUCGGGAGGGUUUGCCUUCCGGUGUCGUAGCUAACGCGUUAAGUUCUCCGCCUGGGAAAGUACGGCCGCAAGGUU
rnacentral:rRNA from 1 species